AGACCGAUAGCGAACAAGUAGAGUGAUCGAAAGAUGAAAAGCACUUUGAAAAGAGAGUUAAACAGCACGUGAAAUUGUUGAAAGGGAAGCGCUUGCGACCAGACUCGCCCACGGGGUUCAGCCGGCAUUCGUGCCGGUGUACUUCCCCGCGGGCGGGCCAGCGUCGGUUUGGGCGGCCGGUCAAAGGCCCUCGGAAUGUAACGCCCCCCGGGGCGUCUUAUAGCCGAGGGUGCCAUUGCGGCCACCCAGACCGUAAGAACGCGCUUC
rnacentral:rRNA from 1 species